rnacentral:rRNA from 1 species
GAUGAACGCUGGCGGCGUGCCUAAUACAUGCAAGUCGAGCGAAUGGAUUAAGAGCUUGCUCUUAUGAAGUUAGCGGCGGACGGGUGAGUAACACGUGGGUAACCUGCCCAUAAGACUGGGAUAACUCCGGGAAACCGGGGCUAAUACCGGAUAACAUUUUGAACAGCAUGGUCCGAAAUUGAAAGGCGGCUUCGGCUGUCACUUAUGGAUGGACCCGCGUCGCAUUAGCUAGUUGGUGAGGUAACGGCUCACCAAGACAACGAUGCGUAGCCGACAGGCGAGGGGAAUCGGCCCCCAGGGGACUGAGACACGGCCCAGACUCCUACGGGAGGCAGCAGUAGGGAAUCUUCGGCAAUGGACGAAAGUAUGACGGAGCAACGCCGCGUGAGUGAUGAAGGCUUUCGGGUCGUAAAACUCUGUUGUUAGGGAAGAACAAGUGCUAGUUGAAUAAGCUGGCACCUUGACGGUACCUAACCAGAAAGCCACGGCUAACUACGUGCCAGCAGCCGCGGUAA